GACGUAGGGGGCGAGCGUUGUCCGGAGUUACUGGGCGUAAAGGGCCCGCAGGCGGGAGGGCACGUUUGUGGUGACAGCGCGUGGCUAAACUGCGCGAGGAUCACAAAGACGGCCGUUCUUGAGGGCCAGAGAGGGACCUGGAAGUCCGGGUGGAGCGGUGAAAUGCGUAGAGAUCCGGAGGAACACCAAAGGCGAAGGCAGGGUCCUGGCUGGUACCUGACGCUCGUGGGCGAAAGCUAGGGGAGCGAACGGG
rnacentral:rRNA from 1 species